GCGACAAAUGGUGUCUGGAUCAUGGGAUAGCAAUCAACGAUGAGACCGAAGGGGAAACACAAAUGAGUACAUUUUGAACCAUGCAUGAUUUAAUUUUUUUUGUUUUAUACAUGAUAUAUGAAUGAUCAUGAUAUGCAAUGCUGACAAUAGGCAGACUAGGAGUUUCUAGGGACUAUUUAUAGAGAUUCUGAUACCUCAACACCAAUAACUCAAACCCGUACAAGUAAUAUGCGUAUCCAGAGG
rnacentral:lncRNA from 1 species